GAUGAACGCUGGCGGCGUGCCUAAUACAUGCAAGUCGAGCGAACGGACGAGAAGCUUGCUUCUCUGAUGUUAGCGGCGGACGGGUGAGUAACACGUGGAUAACCUACCUAUAAGACUGGGAUAACUUCGGGAAACCGGAGCUAAUACCGGAUAAUAUUUUGAACCGCAUGGUUCAAAAGUGAAAGACGGUCUUGCUGCCACUUAUAGAUGGAUCCGCGCUGCAUUAGCUAGUUGGUAAGGUAACGGCUUACCAAGGCAACGAUGCAUAGCCGACCUGAGAGGGUGAUCGGCCACACUAGAACUGAGACACGGUCCAGACUCCUACGGGAGGCAGCAAUGGGGAAUCUUCCGCAAUGGGCGAAAACCUGACGGAGCAACGCCGCGUGAGUUAUGAAGGUCUUCGGAUCGUAAAACUCUGUUAUUAGGGAAGAACAUAUGUGUAAGUAACUUUGCACAUCUUGACGGUACCUAAUCAGAAAGCCACGGCUAACUACGUG
rnacentral:rRNA from 1 species